CCUACGGGAGGCAGCAGUGGGGAAUAUUGCACAAUGGGGGAAACCCUGAUGCAGCGACGCCGCGUGAGUGACGAAGUAUUUCGGUAUGUAAAGCUCUAUCAGCAGGGAAGAAGAAAGACGGUACCUGACUAAGAAGCCCCGGCUAACUACGUGCCAGCAGCCGCGGUAAGACGUAGGGGGCAAGCGUUAUCCGGAUUUACUGGGUGGAAAGGGAGCGUAGACGGCGGUGCAAGUCUGAAGUGAAAGCCCAGGGCUCAACCCUGGGACUGCGUUGGAAACUGUGGAGCUAGAGUGCUGAAGAGGUAAGUGGAAUGCCUAGUGGAGCGGGGAAAUGCGUAGAGAUUAGGAGGAACACCAGUGGAGAAGGCAGCUUACUGGACAGUAACUGACGUUGAGGCUCGAAAGCGUGGGGAGCAAACAGGAUUAGAUACCCCAGUAGUC
rnacentral:rRNA from 1 species